CCUACGGGGGGCAGCAGUGGGGAAUAUUGCACAAUGGAGGGAACUCUGAUGCAGCAACGCCGCGUGAAGGAAGAAGGUCUUCGGAUCGUAAACUUCUGUCCAAAAGGAAGAAGGAAGUGACGGUACUUUUGGAGGAAGCCCCGGCUAACUACGUGCCAGCAGCCGCGGUAAUACGUAGGGGGCAAGCGUUAUCCGGAAUUAUUGGGCGUAAAGAGUGCGUAGGUGGUCACUUAAGCGCAGGGUUUAAGGCAAUGGCUCAACCAUUGUAUGCCCUGCGAACUGGGGGACUUGAGUGCAGGAGAGGAAAGUGGAAUUCCUAGUGUAGCGGUGAAAUGCGUAGAUAUUAGGAGGAACACCGGUGGCGAAGGCGACUUUCUGGACUGAAACUGACACUGAGGCACGAAAGCGUGGGGAGCAAACAGGAUUAGAUACCCGGGUAGUC
rnacentral:rRNA from 1 species